AUACGAUCACCGAAGUUAAGCAGCAUAGAGCCAGGUCAGUACUUAGAUGGGGGAUCGCUUGAGAACACCUGGUACUGUAAGC